rnacentral:rRNA from 1 species
CUCCACCGCUUGUGUGAGCCCCCGUCAAUUCCUUUGAGUUUCAGCCUUGCGACCAUACUCCCCAGGCGGGGCACUUAACACUUUUGCUUCGGCAGUGAACCCAUGUCAAGUCCACUACCUAGUACCCAUCGUUUAGGGCCAGGACUACCGGGGUAUCUAAUCCCGUUUGCUCCCCUGGCUUUCGCGCCUCAGCGUCAGAAGAGGUCCAGCGCGUCGCUUUCGCCACCGGCGUUCCUUCCGAUAUCUACGCAUUUCACCGCUCCACCGGAAGUUCCACACGCCCCUACCUCCCUCGAGACAUUCAGUAUCAAAGGCACUUUUCCGGUUAAGCCGAAAGAUUUCACCCCUGACUUGAAUGCCCGCCUACGCGCCCUUUAAGCCCAGUGGAUCCGAACAACGUUCGCACGGUUCGUCUUACCGCGGCUGCUGGCACGAACUUAGCCCGUGCUUCCUCCAGGGAUAGGUCAAACCCUUGCGGGCUUUCCUCCCCCUCGACAGUGCUUUACA